rnacentral:rRNA from 1 species
UACGAAGGGGGCUAGCGUUGUUCGGAAUCACUGGGCGUAAAGCGCACGUAGGCGGAUUUUUAAGUCAGGGGUGAAAUCCCGAGGCUCAACCUCGGAACUGCCUUUGAUACUGGGGAUCUGGAGUCCGGGAGAGGUGAGCGGAACUGCGAGUGUAGAGGUGAAAUUCGUAGAUAUUCGCAAGAACACCAGUGGCGAAGGCGGCUCACUGGCCCGGAACUGACGCUGAGGUGCGAAAGCGUGGGGAGCGAACCGG